UGGAGUAGGAAGAAGUGCACGCAUAUAAAAGAAGGUACUGCAACCGAGAGGCACAUAUGAAGACCAAACAAAGAAGCCGUGAAGGAAGAUGAAGACCAUUAUCAAACUUUACCUAUCUAUGUUUUGGUCGGGACUUACACGUGGAGGAACACACAUGGUGAUCGUCAAGAAUGGAGGGAAGUGGGAGAAAAACAUCGGAGUUUGUGAACAAAUUUUGAAAGAACAACAAAUAGGUUCAAUACUUGGUCCGAAAACUUCACUUUAUGUCUUUCUAAAUAAAUGAUAUGGCAUUCAAUAUGCACUUAGAUUAUUUUUCACAUAUCUUUGUUUAAAACUCCAUUGAGAGGGCAAGCAUGUACUAAUGGAACUCUCUUCAGUUUCUAUAUAUCAUUAUCAGAUUUCGGU
rnacentral:lncRNA from 1 species